UGACGUAGGGUGCAAGCGUUGUCCGGAAUUAUUGGGCGUAAAGAGCUCGUAGGCGGUCUGUCGCGUCGGCUGUGAAAUCCCGAGGCUCAACCUCGGGUCUGCAGUCGAUACGGGCAAACUAGAGUAUUGCAGGGGAGACUGGAAUUCCCGGUGUAGAGGUGAAAUUCGUAGAUAUCGGGAGGAACACCGGUGGCGAAGGCGGCGAUCUGGGUCGAGUACUGACGCUGAGGUGCGAAAGCGUGGGGAGCAAACAGG
rnacentral:rRNA from 1 species